AGACCAAGAAUGCUUGAUGAACAAACGAUGAACUAAAAUUUCAUUUGGAGGUUAUGCCAUGACAUAAAUGCAUUAAAUUAGGAAGAUUUGUAUUGGAUGAAUUACCCAGAUAGCAAUUAAAACAACUUCUGUUGAUAAGAACAUUUGAUUUGUGGAAUCCAGAUACUGUGAAUGUACAUGUAAUUGAUUGACAAGUACACAUUUGACAAGGUGGUGAGAAACGUGUAGAUCUGGCCUGCUUACAGUGGCUAUUGGAUUGGACAGAACCAAAGUGAGAGUUAACGUGUGAAUUUAUGGAGAACAUUAAACUAUUUUAC